ACAACUUUCAACAACGGAUCUCUUGGCUCUCGCAUCGAUGAAGAACGCAGCGAAAUGCGAUAAGUAAUGUGAAUUGCAGAAUUCAGUGAAUCAUCGAAGAAUCUUUGAACGCACCUUGCGCUCCUUGGUAUUCCGAGGAGCAUGCCUGUUUGAGUGUCAUUAA
rnacentral:rRNA from 1 species